AUUGAACGCUGGCGGCAGGCUUAACACAUGCAAGUCGAACGAGUGGGGGACGGGAGUGUAAUGCUUGGGAAUCUGGUUUAUGGCUGGGGUUAACGCGGGAAAACUGUCGCUAAUACCGCUAACCAGAGGCUGAGCCCAAGUGGGAUUAGGUAGUUGGUGGGGGAUUGGCCUACCAAGCCGACGAUCGAUAGCCGGUCUGAGAGGAUGAACAGCCACACCGGGACUGAGACACGGCCCAGACUCCUACGGGAGGCAGCAGUGGGGAAUAUUGCGCAAUGGGCGAAAGCCUGACGCAGCAACGCCGCGUGAGUGAAGAAGGCCUUCGGGUUGUAAAGUUCUUUCAGUGGGGAAGCGUUAACUACACAGAAAGCACCGGCUAACUCCGUGCCAGCAGCCGCGGUAAUAC
rnacentral:rRNA from 1 species